rnacentral:rRNA from 1 species
UACGUAGGGUGCGAGCGUUGUCCGGAAUUAUUGGGCGUAAAGAGCUCGUAGGCGGUUUGUCGCGUCGGCCGUGAAAACCUGCAGCUUAACUGUGGGCUUGCGGUCGAUACGGGCAUCACUGGAGUUCGGCAGGGGAGACUGGAAUUCCUGGUGUAGCGGUGAAAUGCGCAGAUAUCAGGAGGAACACCGGUGGCGAAGGCGGGUCUCUGGGCCGAUACUGACGCUGGAGGAAGCGAAAGCGUGGGGAGCGAACAGG